AGAGUUUGAUCAUGGCUCAGGAUGAACGCUGGCGGCGUGCUUAAUACAUGCAAGUCGAACGGUCUAGCGCAAGCUAGAUAGUGGCGAACGGGUGAGUAACGCGUUGGUGACCUGCCCCGAAGUGUGGGAUAACAGUUCGAAAGGAUUGCUAAUACCGCAUGUGGUUAUUGGGAUUAGAUGCCUGACAACUAAAGGAGUAAUUCGCUUCGGGAGGGACCUGCGUCCCAUCAGCUAGUUGGUAGGGUAACGGCCUACCAAGGCUUCGACGGGUAGGGGACCUGAGAGGGUGGCCCCCCACAAUGGAACUGAAACACGGUCCAUACACCUACGGGUGGCAGCAGUAGGGAAUAUUGGUAAUCUGCGAAAGCGGGAACCAGCAACGCCGCGUGUGCGAUGAAGGCCUUCGGGUCGUAAGCACUUUUUGAGAGGAUGAGGAAGGACAGUACUCUCAGAAUAAGUCUCGGCUAACUACGUGCCAGCAGCCGCGGUAAAACGUAGGAGACGAGCGUUGUCCGGAUUUACUGGGCGUAAAGCGCAUGCAGGCGGUUCGGCAAGUUGGAUGUGAAAGCUCCUGGCUCAACUGGGAGAGGUCGUUCAAUACUACCGAACUUGAGGAUGGUAGAGGGAGGUGGAAUUCCGGGUGUAGUGGUGAAAUGCGUAGAUAUCCGGAGGAACACCAGUGGCGAAAGCGGCCUCCAGGACCAUUUCUGACGCUUAGAUGCGAAAGCUAGGGUAGUAAACGGGAUUAGGGACCCCGGUAAUCCUAGCCGUAAACGAUGUAGACUUGGCGUCGUGGGGUUAAAUCCAUCGGUGCCGCAG
rnacentral:rRNA from 1 species